rnacentral:sRNA from 1 species
GUAUCUGCUUUGUCCCAGUUCUUCAUCCUGCUGCUGAUUAUCCUCCUUGCUGAGGUGACCUUGGCCAUCCUGCUCUUUGUAUAUGAACAGAAGCUGAAUGAGUAUGUGGCUAAGGGUCUGACCGACAGCAUCCACCGUUACCACUCAGACAAUAGCACCAAGGCAGCGUGGGACUCCAUCCAGUCAUUUGUGUUGGGGAUGUCCUUUGCACUGACCCUGAACUGCCAGAUUGACAAAACCAGCCAGACCAUAGGGCUAUGAUCUGCAGUGGUCCUGUGGUGAAGAGACUUGUUUCAUCUAUGGAAAUGCAAAACCAUUUAUAGCAUGAAGCCCUACAUGAUCACUGCGGGAUGAUCCUCCUCCCAUCCUUUCCCUUUUUAGGUCCCUGUCUUAUACAACCAGAGAAGUGGGUGUUGGCCAGGCAUAUCCCAUCUCAGGCAGCAAGACAAUCUUUCACUCACUGAUGGCAGCAGCCAUGUCUCUCAAAGUGGUGAAACUAAUAUCUGAGCAUCUUUUAGACAAGAGAGGCAAAGAGAAACUGGAUCUAAUGGCCCAACAUCAAAGGGUGAACCCAGGAUAUGAAUUUUUGCAUCUUCCCAUUGUCGAAUUAGUCUCCAGCCUCUAAAUAAUGCCCAGUCUUCUCCCCAAAGUCAAGCAAGAGACUAGUUGAAGGGAGUUCUGGGGCCAGGCUCACUGGACCAUUGUCACAACCCUCUGUUUCUCUUUGACUAAGAGCCCUGGCUACAGGAAUUACACAGUUCUCUUUCUCCAAAGGGCAAGAUCUCAUUUCAAUUUCUUUAUUAGAGGGCCUUAUUGAUGUGUUCUAAGUCUUUCCAGAAAAAAACUAUCCAGUGAUUUAUAUCCUGACUUCAACCAGUCACUUAGCUGAUAAUCACAGUAAGAAGACUUCUGGUAUU